CACACCGGGGAGGCCUCAAGUGGCACCGUCUGGAACGAAAAUGCUCCCAGCCUCCCGUGGGAAGACAGAGAGCCGCCUGCGCCGUCCCCGCCACAGGCAGGAGCUCUGAGGCAGCCUCACACUGCAAGGCAGGAAGAACCACCUGGGAGGUGGGACGGGGGUCCCUGUCAGCCGAGCUUCCAGGAGGGACCACUGGGCCCUGUGUCCCCCGCAGACAGGCACUUUCCGAUCUCGCUCUGCAGGGAAACGGCUUCUCGAUGACGCCUCACGGUCCCCGCUGGCUGCCCCAGGGGUCCCCGGAAAGACCCAUGUAAACGGUCGCAUCACGAGGGGGUCGAGGCAGAGAGCUCAACCUGGACGGCCCACCUUCAGGCCCGACACAGCCCCCACGACAGGACAGCCCAGGGCAGGGGCCCCCCAGUCUCCCUGAACAGACCUGCACCAGCCUCUGAGCCAGCCCUCUGUGAGGGUCCUCGGUCGAGGGUUUCCAACAAAUCCUGUUUAUGAGCCGGAACCUAAACACCAGCAGGGCCUUUGCACUGUCAACAAAGACUGGAAGCACCAGCUCUGUGUCACCGGAGCAAGGAAGGCAACGGAGAAAGUCUUGGGUCUUAACAGACUAGGGUCUUCCCUCUGACUACAGUUUGUGCCAAUCCUGGGGACUGCCACACAGCAGGAGUCAGGAAACUACGGCCCUCCACUGCCCCCCACCCCCGUCUGCACAAUAAAUAAAGUUUUAUUGGCACAUGGUCACACCCACUUAUGGACAUGUGACCCAUGGCACAGGUGAGCAGCUGCAACAGAGACAGGACAGCGUUCCAGGUGAGCUCACUUACUACCUGGCCUUUCCAGAAAAAUUUCUCAUUGCCCUUCAUGUCCAAAUCGGAGAUCAUCAGAGCGCCUCCGGACACGGCCACGCCGCGUUUGGGACGCGGACACCUGGAGGGAGAGCGGUGCGCGGCCGGGCAGAGCCCGGAGGCCUCCAGUUCCCCGCACCACCCUCUCCCCUCUUCUGCGCUGACCGCCCAGCACUGACAUCAGCGGGCUCCGGAGGGAGGCCACCGCGCCUCAGGGGGACCAGCGCAGCCGCAGGGCUUACAUUUCGACUUUGAGGGCGACGCCGACCUGCUGCCUCAGGUUCUGAAACAUCAGCUCUGAGACGGGACGAGCACGUAGCUCCGUGGGCCAGAACGGGAAUUCUGCUGCUCGUGUUUGUACGUUUACAAGAGACACAGAAGGUCUUGCGUCUCCUCCCCUCUGUGUGGGGAGAAAAGGCCGUCGUUUCAAAGGAAACAACCCGGCUAGAAAACAGGGACCGGGAGAGUCAUA